UCAAGUUUAAAUGCGUGUUUUAAGCCAUCACCUGUGCUGCUUUCAGUGGUGUUUGAUCUCUGUCUUUGGUUACUGUAGUAAAGGCAUAGAUUCGUUGACAUGAGUUACAGUAUAAUGUUUAUGCACUGUAGACGUGCGUAAUGGGUUCUGCUUUAUUCAGUCUCUACAAAGAAGCGUGCGAAUUGCGCUUCGCAGCAUGUGGUCCCAUAAACGAUCAGAAAUACGGACAUUAUGUAAGGCUACAAACGAUUCAAGAAUCUAUUACCAUACAUAAAGGAUGUUAGUUUAACCAAAAUUUUAUUUAAAAGAAUAAUAUGUAUGGAAACGACAAAACAUUAUUCUAUGCAACAGCAACUUUCCUGUCGCUGGAAAAAAAACGGUAGGCUAUGUUAUCUGUUAAAGAGGGAUUAACUGUUCAUUUAUGAUUUUUAGCUGAUAUAUACAGUAUAUACAACUAAGGAUCGGGUCGAACAUGCGCAUUACGUACGUGAGGCGGUAGAGAAAAUAUAUUUGUAAAUCCUUCAACAACACUGUUUCGUACAGGGCAUAGUGUUAGCGUAUCAGAAAUAAAGCUUGCGUACAGUAUAUGCUGGCUUUAAAUCAUAGUAACAGAUGACUGCACAAAGUAGUACAGCUCUCGUAAGCUGGUUUCCGUGGGUGUUUGGGACUUUCUAUAACCAAAAGGCCUCUUGAAGACCCCCCCUAACGCGAAGCGUUUCGAAACUCGUUUUGGAGGAGAGCGCAAGUCUAAAGUGUGCAUAGAAAUGGUAUGGCGCCGUUUCCGAGACGUUUAGUUGACAAUAAUUGUACACUUUUGUAUUUCGUAACUGUUAAUUGUGUAGCACAAUUUGGUGCCAGUGCGAAACAAAGUAAAAUUGAACUGCGGUUCUCGCCGUUACGAGGGGCGGCGUGAGAGGACGUCCAAAUCAGCAACACCUGGGCACAAGAUGGCGGCUUUUCCAAACCGCUGAGGAUCGAGUAGGCCUGCGUUUCUGUAAAUCGAAUACUUUUCAUAUAUGUAUGUUUUUUUCUUUUAUUGUUGACGGAUAGAAAUGUUCCUGUCGAGUACGCUGCAUGUACGUUUUUUUCCCCAUGUAAAUCCGAACUAGCGUUGUUUUCGGUGCCGUUUUAAGGAACGAUUUUUAUGGAGAGAAGACCGUUUUUUUUGUCUUCAAGGGAGUGGGAAGUGUUGGGUGGCCCAUCCCUGCAGUCUGCCACCACGGACAGAUUCACCACAAAGAGAAGAGAAGUGUUUCCCCAAGCCCUUCUCAAACAGACGGUGGCAACGAACCAAGGACCCGGUUACCUGGAGGAACAUGCCAGAGUCCCUCUUUGGAGCUUAUUAUUAAAAUGUUUUUUAAUUCAA